AGCUUUGGGGUUGAAGCAAGCAGCUGAUGCUGAGUUGUAGUGAACGCAAAGCCAUCUUCUUUAUUUUGCCUACUUGGCCUCAUUAUGUUUUGAGUGUACAUAUACAUUUAUGCAAUCAACCUCAUUUCUUCUUCCUCUUCCUUAAAAACGCUGUCUUUCUUCUUGUUCGCCCUUUUCUUUCUAAGUUAGGACAACGAAACCCCGUCCGAGGAAAGCAGAAGAAAAUAGCAAAACGCUUGUGGUGGUGAGGGGGCGGAAGCUCUCUUCAAGACCGGCGGAAUAUGGUGAAAAUUGAAGCAAGAUUGAGCUUUUCCGUGGAAAUUUAUGUGAAGCAAAUGGGUUCCGGAUGCUCAUAUGAAGAAGCAGGGGGAAACUAUAAAUGGGACAUCGUUUUCUUCAAACUCCCAUCUUUGCAGCGACUUCUGUUCUUCUUCUUCUUCUUCAGCCUCCGCUGAUGGGAGAUGGUGGGUGUGGCGGCGGAGGCGGUGAUAUUGGCGGGAUCGGCUCAAUCUCUUACAUUGUUCAUUUAUGAAUACACUA